rnacentral:rRNA from 1 species
AGGCAGCAGUUGGGAAUCUUCCGCAAUGGGCGAAAGCCUGACGGAGCAACGCCGCGUGAGUGAAGAGGGUCUUCGGAUCGUAAAACUCUGUUAUUAGGGAAGAACAAAUGUGUAAGUAACUAUGCACGUCUUGACGGUACCUAAUCAGAAAGCCACGGCUAACUACGUGCCAGCAGCCGCGGUAAUACGUAGGUGGCAAGCGUUAUCCGGAAUUAUUGGGCGUAAAGCGCGCGUAGGCGGUUUUUUAAGUCUGAUGUGAAAGCCCACGGCUCAACCGUGGAGGGUCAUUGGAAACUGGAAAACUUGAGUGCAGAAGAGGAAAGUGGAAUUCCAUGUGUAGCGGUGAAAUGCGCAGAGAUAUGGAGGAACACCAGUGGCGAAGGCGACUUUCUGGUCUGUAACUGACGCUGAUGUGCGAAAGCGUGGGGAUCAAACAGGAUUAGAUACCCUAGUAGUCC